GUUGCUAGCAUCCACAGCGCGGUCUGGUCACUCCCCGCACCCUGCUGCCGGCGUCGCCUCGGAAAAUUCGACCCACGAGCGCGAGAAUUCGCCGGCUCCGACCGUGAUUUUCCACGCCAGGGACGCGCCGCCAUUGAUCAUCGGCGUGACGACGACGAGGACGAGCAGCUCCCGAUUCCAAUCAUUGAAAUGUCGCCCUGCAUGCAGGUACUGUCUAGUAAUCACAUGAUGACA
rnacentral:lncRNA from 1 species